rnacentral:lncRNA from 1 species
GUAAGUUACAUAAGAUAAAGAUGCACCGUUUGUGUGGUCACAAAUGCAUGGUGGGAGAGAUCAGUGAAAAGGGCAGAAGUCUUGAGGGGCUUGGAAAACAAUUUACUUUGAUUCUAUCUGCAAUGAAAGGGGAUUUUAAAGCUUUUAAAUAGAAAUAAGUGUUCCAUGAUUUAAAUUUUUUAAAUGUUAUAAUGGAAUCUAUAGAAACUUGGUAAAAAACAGUAAUGGAAAAAAAACAAAAAAAGACACUCUCAGUAGAUACCAAGAGUUGAUAUCCCAAACUAGAAUAAUGCCUGAGAAUUCCAGAAGAUUUGGGAAAUGUCCAUGGAAAUAGCUCAUCCAGUACUACCUCCACCUCACACCUUUGACUACCAAAAGCAAGUAGGGAGGACUGUCUAUGGCGAUAAUACCCCUCAUCAACAAGAAAAUGAUAGAAUUCUAAAAUUGGAAAGUAGGCUUCUCUAAAGUACCUUCAGAUCCCACUGGGUUAAAACUGUGAGAAGAAUGGGAGCAGUAAGGAUACACAGAUAUCUGAGAUCGAUGGUGAACUGAAGCAGAGCAGUAAAAGCCAAAGAAAGAGAACAAAUGCCGAGGCUGUGCACAAUAAAUAAAAUUCACUGGCUGCUUGGAAGA